rnacentral:lncRNA from 12 species
UCUUUGAUAUUGUGUUUCUGUUUUAUGGAAAUACUGAUUAAUACUUGAAACUUAACUUUGUAGGUUGAGAAGGAAAAAAGCAAAGAAAGAUGUUUCAAUAUGCCGACAGUGGCAAAAGAGGAAAAUGUUGAUAAAUUAAAUACACCACCCGGAAGCAUUACUAAUCAGCAAAUGAAAGAAAAGCUUAUACUAAGGAAGAACGACUGUUUAAAAAUGGAGGAUGAAAACACUACAGAAGAGAAAAUCAUAAAGAAUUUUUCACCUGAGGAGAGUGAAUUUGCCCUGAAUCAUGAUGUUGCAAAGAAAGAUAAAGGACAGACUUUAAAGCAGAAGGCUAAUCAGCUGAUGAGCUCUUCCAGUGGGAAUAAUUUUCGAGUACCAGAUGAUAGCACUUCCAGUGAAGUAUCUCAAGAGGAAGGAAGACCUGCAGCAAAAACAGCAAGUGAAAGAAAUAAGGUCCGCAUACAAAUGGAUGUAACUGAUGACCUUGAUUUCACUCAUUCAUCUGACACAACAUCAGAGGAUGUCAAACUACCAACAUCCACCUGCAGAGAGGCUGUGUUGCUCUUAGAACAGCUUACUGUGGAUCAUGCAGGUAUGUUCUAAAGUCACUUUUUCCUCAGAUGGUACAAGUUUCUCUUUUAAAACAUGUUGUCUUUGUGUGCACUCCUAGGUAUCUUGGCUCAUUUAUAUUUAAGAUAG